rnacentral:rRNA from 1 species
ACGAACUGGACAAACGUUAUUCGGAAUCACUGGGCUUAAAGGGUGCGUAGGCGGUCUGAUAAGUCGGGUGUGAAAUCCCCCGGCUCAACCGAGGAAUUGCGCUCAAUACUGUCGGACUUGAGGGAGUUAGAGGUAAGCGGAACUUAGGGUGGAGCGGUGAAAUGCGUUGAUAUCCUAAGGAACACCAGUGGCGAAAGCGGCUUACUGGAUCUCUUCUGACGCUGAGGCACGAAAGCUAGGGGAGCGAACGG